GCGUCGGUAGUGCAGUUGGUUAACACGCGCUUCCAGAAAAGGUAAAGUAAGGGUUCGAUUCCCGUGUGGCGCU